rnacentral:lncRNA from 1 species
AUCAUUGUCCUUUGUAGAGUGACUCCAGAACCUCGUACCUCCUGUGUCAUGACGACUAAGUGUACUGUGAGCCCAGGACUUAGAACUUCCAGAGCACACGACUAAACAAACACAUUGAAAUGCCCUCCUGGCAAGUCUAGCAGCUGGGUAGUUAGCAGACAGGUCCGGAAGCCAGCUGAGAAUUGGUUGCACAAGUUACUUCAGGAAGUAGACGUCUCAUGAAGGCCGGUGGAUGAAGACAUCUGCUGCAUAAGUGCAUUCACAAGUCUUACUGUGGAUUCACUAUUCGACUCUACACACUCAUCGAGCUUUCAAGAUGACACCUGAGGCAAAUUACGUUUUCAUUUGAUGCUAUCCGUGAAAAUCUAGUCAUGCCUUGUGGAUACUGGGCUCUGCCAGAAGUCCUUUUCCAGACACAGCCUGUGAUGGUGAACCGGAACCACAAGCUAAAGGCAAACGAUUUCUAACUUAAAAAAAAAAAAAAAAAUCUUCUCUACCUGUUUAGAAAUUCCUGUGAAGUAUUUGAGGGCUUAGAAUCAUUCCAUUGCUUCCAUGUCACACAGCCAUCUG